GGAUGAACGCUGGCGGCGUGCCUACUACAUGCAAGUCGAGCGAACAGACGAGGAGCUUGCUCCUCUGACGUUAGCGGCGGACGGGUGAGUAACACGUGGAUAACCUACCUAUAAGACUGGGAUAACUUCGGGAAACCGGAGCUAAUACCGGAUAAUAUAUUGAACCGCAUGGUUCAAUAGUGAAAGACGGUUUUGCUGUCACUUAUAGAUGGAUCCGCGCCGCAUUAGCUAGUUGGUAAGGUAACGGCUUACCAAGGCAACGAUGCGUAGCCGACCUGAGAGGGGGAUCGGCCCCCCGGAACCUGGGACACGGUCCAGACCCCUACGGAGGCCAGAGGUGGGAAAUCUUCCGCAAGGGGGGAAGGCCGAACGAGGCACCGCGGCGUAGGGAAGGAAGGUCUUCGGACGGAAAACUCUGUUAUUAGGGAAGAACAAAUGUGUAAGUAACUAUGCACGUCUUGACGGUACCUAAGCAGAAAGCCACGGCUAACUACGU
rnacentral:rRNA from 1 species